UGUAGCAGAGAGAGUUACAGUGAAGAACUUCUCGAAACAGACGGAUAAACUUUUUAAAUAAUUAAUGUCUGUAAUUAAGGAGUUGUAGCAAUGAAAGUCUAGCAACGCUGAAAGUUUUAGCGAUCAGGCUAAGUGUAAUCACACUUGCCAUAAUAUGUGGACUUUUAUAGACUUCCUACUUUGCUGACAGUGACAUUAAUAUGUGAAUUUUAAAUGCAUAAUGUGCCCAUAUAGCCUACAAACUAUGACUUAGCUUAUCAUUGUAAUUAUUACGCAAACAAGGGUAAAGUUGAACGUUCAGUGUAUUUUAUAAUAACAAUGGAGCAGAUUUGUCUUCGCCUGGUCAAACUCGACAUGUUGUCCAGAAUAAGGUCAUUAAACCGGGUUGAUUCUGUGGUCAGAUGGUGUGGACAGAGACAGCGUCCGUCACUCUUCGCCUCUGCUCGGACUGAUCUCAGGACAAACUCAUCUACCUCUCUGAAACCAAGAGGAUCUGUCACAGUUUCUCCUUCAUUUCUCUGUUUGAGAUCAAGACUCAGCAUCUGUAUAACAGCAUUCAGACCUCCAGUUCAUCCGUUCAUCAUUCAGUCCACGCGGGAGAUUCACACCUCGGGCAGACUGAGAGCUUUACCUGCACCCUUGAUAUGGAUGGUGCUGAAGCCACUGCAGAAGCUCAUGGCCAUCAUACUGGGCAGGAGUAUUAGAAAAUGGUGGUUGGCUCUGCCACCCAAUAGAAAGCAGCUGUUUCGUGAAUGGACAUGGCGUCGACGCUGGCACUUUGUGGGAGCUGGGGCAGGACUGCUGUUCUUUGUCUGCCUCUUUUUAUUCACUCAUCUGGAUGAAUCUCCAGUGACAGGCAGGACCCGACUGCUGGUGUUCAGCAGGGAGAACUUCAUGGAACUGGCUCAGGUCACUGCGGAAGCGUAUAUGGAGGAGUUUAAGGAUUCUCUGAUCGCUCGAUCGGAUCCCAGGCAUCAGGCGGUGGAGUUAGUGGUUCGGAUUCUGGCCGAGAGAAACCGGGACAUUGCUGAGAUUUCCUCUGUCCCCUGGACGGUCCAUGUGGUGGACGGUCCUACAAUCAAUGCGUUUGUUUUGCCUAAUGGAAAGGUCUUCAUCUUCACAGGAAUGCUGGAGGCUGUAGCAGACAUCCAUCAGCUGGUCUUUAUACUGGGACAUGAGAUGGCUCACGCUCUGAUUGGUCAUGCAGCAGAGCAGGCCAGUUUGUCUCACGUGGUGGAGCUGUUGUCUCUCAUCCUGUUAACGGCGAUCUGGGCGAUCUGUCCCAGGGACAGUUUAGCCGUGCUGGGCCAGUGGAUUCAGGGCAAACUAGUGCAGUUCUUAUUUGACCGGCCCUUCAGUCGUAAGCUGGAGGCAGAGGCGGACCAGGUUGGCCUGCAACUGGCUGCCAAGGCGUGUGCUGACGUGAGGGCAGGCCCAGUCUUUUGGCAGCAGAUGGAGAUCUAUGAUCAGUUGAGAGGCGAACCCACCAUCCCAGAGUGGCUAUCCACACACCCUUCCCACCAAAACCGUGUCAGACAGUUGGACCGCCUCGUCCCUGAGGCUUUGGAGCUCCGCGCACGCUGUGACUGUCCUGCCCUCCCCAAAGCUGACCCCCGUGUCAUUUUCCACCAGGCUGUUAAAUUGGUUCUGGACAAUGACAAAAAACAAGAAAAGAUUGCACAAGAAGAAAAGACUGAGAAACAGAGAGCUGGAGUCAUGUUGCCGCUCCCUCAAUCCCCUCCUGUCCCAACUCCGGGGUCUCAACCUCAGCUGGGAUGAUUGCUGGCCACAUCCGCUCUGCCACAAACUCUGCUUAGUAAAUGAGACUUGAUGAAACAUGACUGACAGGGACACAUUCAAGCUUUCCUUUUCACUUCUCUUUUUCCAGUCCAGUAGCCCUGAACAAGGACUGAGAGGAUUGUCAGAUAGAACCAGACAGUUUUUUUGAUCCAUUUGAUUAGCUGUCACUUUGAUACCUACGUCAGUUAGUCUGUGAGAUGAUUUGAGUGAGAGUAUGUACAUCAUUUGUGUGUGAUGCUUGAGUUUAUGCUCCUCCUUCAAGCAUCCACGGCAGUGCAGUCAUGUUAAUAAUGGAGCAAUUGUAAAUGGGUUUUUGAUUGGUUUUAAUGAUGUUAUUAGCAUAAGACCCCUGUGAAGUUGAAUGCAUUAUGGUGUACAGUACAUUAUUCAUCAAACAUCUGCCUCUGCUUUAAUGUCCCCUAUAGGUUCCAGGCUGUAAUGUAACUGCUGCAUAGCAGCUAAUGUCACUGUGUUUGAAGCUGUGUGGAGCUUUGGACAUACUACAUUAUUUAGAGGAUUUGUCAAUGGCCAGCUGAUGCUAAAUAUGAGCCCAACGCUUGUGUUCUUGACAAGUGUUAAGUUUAUUUUAAAUGCACUCUGUAUGAAUACUAUGAAUGUAAAGAAUAUGUGACUGUAAUUACAUACAAGAUAAAUGAA